rnacentral:rRNA from 1 species
UGGUGACGGCUCGGGCUAGUUCGUGCACUCCUGUCAUGGGGUGUCGAAGCGUUCGAUAAUCGAUCGGAGAACCGUAACGGUGAGAAGAUCGAGAAGGCGUGAGCAAAAGACGAAUGAGGCCAGGGUCCCGUGAAAAGCCGCAGAGGUGACCGUACCGAGAACUGACACAGGUGCCCCUGGGUGAGCAGCCUAAGGUGUGACGGGCAAAGUACCGCGAAGGAACUCGGCAAAAUAGCUCUGUAACUUCGGGAGAAGGAGUGCCAGCUUAGAGAUAAGCUGGUCGCAGUGACCAGGGGACUCCGACUGUUUAAUAAAAACAUAGGCGACUGCUAGACCGAAAGGUUGCGUAUAGUCGCUGAAUCCUGCUCAGUGCCGGUAUCUGAAAUCGGGUUUCAACCCGGCGAAGGACCGGUAAACAGCGGGGGUAACUAUGACCCUCUUAAGGUAGCGUAAUACCUUGUCGCUUAAUUGGCGACUUGCAUGAAUGGCACAACGAGAGUCCCACUGUCUCCGCGGUACGUCCGGCGAAAUUGACUAUUACUGGCGCACAGUCCAGUAACCUCAACCUGCAAGCGAAGACCCCGUAGAGCUUUACUGCAGCCUGGCGCUGUACAUUCGCACACUUUGUGCUGAGUAGACGGGAGAUGCUAAUCCUCGGGACGCUAGUCCCGGGAGUAGUCGUCCAUAGAGACACCGUCCUUAGUGUGUGGCUGUACUCACUCUUCAUGAGAACACCGCUUGGUGGGCAGUUUGGGUGGGGCGCCACGCGCCCGAAAACCUAACAGGCGUGCCCAAAGGUCAGCUUAGGUGGUUCAGUCUCCACCGUUAACCGUAAGGGGAAAAGCUGGCUUGACGUGGAUCGGACCAAUAACGAUCGACGAUGCGAAAGCAGGGCCUAACGAACCAAUGUGCCUCAUUUCUGGGGGCCAUUGAUAACAGAAAAGUUACCUCGGGGAUAAUUGAGUUGUCACCAGCAAGAGCACAUAUCGACCUGGUGGCUUGCUACUUCGAUGUCGUCUCUUCCCAACCUCCUGGUGCAGCAGCUGGGAAGGGUGGGGUUGUUCGCCCAUUAAAGGGGAUCGUGAGAUGGGUUUAGACCGUCGUGAGACAGGUUUGUUGCUUUGCGGUUGAGGCGUGUAAGAUGCCUGAUCGGAAGGGUCCUUUAGUACGAGAGGAACGAGGGCUCGGAGCCACUAGUUUACCAGUUGUCCGGCAGGGCAAUGCUGGGUAGCCACGCUCCAUGUGGAUAAGAGCUGAAAGCAUCUAAGCUCGAAGUCACCCGAAAGACGAGGCAUCUCAGGGGACUCGUAGAAGACGAGUUUGAUAGACAGCGGGUGUAAGCACCGAGGUUCGCCGAGGUGUUCAGCCCAGCUGCACUAACCCCCCGAGCAUUCAUU